UUGCCAGAUUGUUCUUUACCUCCAAUGCAAGACUCUCCAGCACUGUCACUUGGAUUAAUUCCCUGUUGCCGACCCUGCCUGCCUCUAACAAGCCGGCCUUUUUGUAAUCUCUGAAAUAGCCUCAACCUUCUGUCCUGCAUGGGGGAAAGUUCUAUCUCUGCAUUCCUGGAUCCUGUCUGCCUCUCCCUUAAGCCUGGCUCAGACUUUAAAAUGUUGACGAGUACAUCAUGACAUGGUCUGGUGGAAGUCGUGUGUGACUACAAUUAACCGCGAGAGACGAGGGAGGACAGAAAUAAGUGGACAAUAGUGGAGCCCGUCAGCAAGAUGCAACCCACACAAGGUUCAGCAGCAGACCUAACGACAAAGGAUUUCAUGUAAAGACAGCAGAGUUUGAGCUCACAGGCAGAUUAUUCUCUACACUGAGGGUCAACUGUUAAUCUUUACUGACGAUUAUAGAAAGUCUUCAACCCGCAAUGUGUGGAAACACAACACUCAAACACUCUUAACUCUGUUCUCAGCAAAUAAACACACAGGGAUCAAUCACA